rnacentral:rRNA from 1 species
AUUGAACGCUGGCGGCAGGCCUAACACAUGCAAGUCGAACGAGUGGCGGACGGGUGAGUAAUGUCUGGGAAACUGCCCGAUGGAGGGGGAUAACUACUGGAAACGGUAGCUAAUACCGCAUACCAUCGGAUUGGCCCAGAUGGGACUCGGUUGGAGGUGCGGUAACGGGUCACCUAGGCGACGCGCACUAGCUGGUCUGAGAGGAUGACGAGCGACACGGGAGCGUAGACACGGGCCAGACUACUACGGGAGGCAGGUGUGGGGAAGAGUGGACAAUGGUGUCAAGUCGGAUUCAGUCAUGCCGGGUGUAUGGAGAAGGCCUUCGGGUUGUAAAUUACUUUCAGCGGGGAGGCGUUACCCGAAGAAGAAGCAACGGCUAACUCCGUGCCAGCCGCAGCGGUAAUUC